rnacentral:rRNA from 1 species
GACGAACGCUGGCGGCGUGCCUAAUACAUGCAAGUAGAACGCUGAAGAGAGGAGCUUGCUCUUCUUGGAUGAGUUGCGAACGGGUGAGUAACGCGUAGGUAACCUGCCUUGUAGCGGGGGAUAACUAUUGGAAACGAUAGCUAAUACCGCAUAACAAUGGAUGACACAUGUCAUUUAUUUGAAAGGGGCAAUUGCUCCACUACAAGAUGGACCUGCGUUGUAUUAGCUAGUAGGUGAGGUAAUGGCUCACCUAGGCGACGGUACAUAGCCGACCUGAGAGGGUGAUCGGCCAAACUGGGAAUGAGACACGGCCCAGACUCCUACGGGAGGCAGCAGUAGGGAAUCUUCGGCAAUGGGGGCAACCCUGACCGAGCAACGCCGCGUGAGUGAAGAAGGUUUUCGGAUCGUAAAGCUCUGUUGUAAGUCAAGAACGGGUGUGAGAGUGGAAAGUUCACACUGUGACGGUAGCUUACCAGAAAGGGACGGCUAACUACGUG